CCCAGCAAAAAAAAAAAAAAAAAAAAAAAAAAAAAAAAAAAAAAACAAGAGAGGCACUCAGAGAGCGCAGUACUCAGCCAAGGACGACAUCGCGGCCGUGUACCUGGGCAUGACGUCACCACGCUCUCCAGGGAGGCUGGAGUCUAUCCCAGACGACUCAGGGCGAAGGUCCAAGGAGACACCUUGGACAGGUUGCCUGUCCAUCGCAGACACAUUCACACCUUCGGACAAUUUAGAAUCACAAAUUAAUCUGCAUGUGGUUGGACUGUGGGAGGAAGCCAGAGAACCCAUGGCAGCGAGCACACAGAAUGGAACAACCUGCGCCUACCAGCAUCUCACCUUCCUACUUCAUCUCAGUGACGGGCUGCAGGCACAUACAGGCGCACAUGAAACUAGAUGAACUGGAGAGCAGCAGCAGAAACAGAGGGACACCGAAGGCAUUAUCCUAAGCUUUCAAAGAGCAGUCGCCUCUUCACUCACCUGCCUCCAUGCUGCUGGAAGCUCCACGCUGAAGAGACGCUGACAGUCGCUGAGAGCUGCUCCCUGUUUCUCUGCACCUCGCCUUCUUAUUGCCGCUUCCAGCCCUAGCAGUGGCUGUAAAGCUUGUCACACUGAGCUCCGCACACCGGAAAGUGAGAGACGCUGUGCUCAAAAUAAAGUGGCUUGACUACAGAGAAUAUGAGGGAGAGAACUUUGGUUUCUUGCAACAACACCACACAGCUGUGGUUAUUUAAUGUUAUUUUGAUUUAGUUGCCGUAUUCUGCUUUUCUGCUCAGUAAUAAUAUUAAUUCCCAGUGUAAUACAUUUGAUUUAGUUCAUACUUUAUGCACUUGUCAUAUCCAGAGAUUCUUUAGAAGUAGAGUGUCUGCUCUUUUUUGUUGUCUGCAGGCUGCACCUGCACAGUUAUCAAUGGCUAAUAUUGAUAUCUAAUAUAAUACCUUGAUGGAAGAGGUGCUUGGACCAGUGUAGCAUUUUGAAUAACCGAGUUGAUAAUAAAAUACA